rnacentral:tRNA from 1 species
GCGGCCGUGCUGGAACUGGUGAGACAGGCUGGUUUUAGGUACCAGUGCCUUCGAGGCGUGUGGGUUCGAGUCCCACCGGCCGCA